rnacentral:tRNA from 1 species
GGUGGCUCAGUGGUAGAGCGCUCGCCUUGCAUGCCAAAGGCCCUGGGUUCGAUUCCUCAGCACCA